rnacentral:rRNA from 1 species
UACGUAGGGGGCGAGCGUUGUCCGAAGUUACUGGGCGUAAAGCGCACGUAGGCGGAUUGUUAAGUCGGGGGUGAAAUCCUGGAGCUCAACUCCAGAACUGCCUUCGAAACUGGCGAUCUUGAGUCCGGGAGAGGUGAGUGGAACUGCGAGUGUAGAGGUGAAAUUCGUAGAUAUUCGCAAGAACACCAGUGGCGAAGGCGGCUCACUGGCCCGGUACUGACGCUGAGGUGCGAAAGCGUGGGGAGCGAACAGG